GCAUGCAGCCGGCAAGCGCAUCGUGGUGCUUCGGUACCGAGCUGAUACCGCAGGCGUCCGUCUUUUGUUUGCGAAAAGGGAUCGCGAGGAAAGGUGCUGACGUUGGAGGGGGAAAGGUGGCGGGGGAACAGGUAGGAGGCAGCUUUCAACCGGUUUUAGGCUUAACUCCUGUGUUCCUGAGCACGGUUCUGGGCUUCGAGGGGUUUGCUUUUGGCUUUUUGCCUUCAGCGCGUCCUCCGUCACCGCUGUCGGCGUGCGCUGAGCUGCUGCUUAGGGAACUGUGGUGAUACAGACUGUGUGCGUGCCAGCCGUCCUCCAGGCUAUAGCUGUAUUCUACCCUAAAAAAAGCUUUCCGUAAUAUUAUGCUUCCGUUAGGACGCAAUUUUCUCGAGUUCCCCCCACCUCAGGGUGAUUUUCCCACACCCCUAACCCCAACCCCUAAGCCCACCUGCAACACCCCAUUUUCUCCUAGGCUUGUAGGAGUGGCCUGAGAGGUGCUUGCAGGGUAUUCCAUUUUGCCUUAGACAGCUUAGGAGACCAACCACAUGCCUGGAGAUCUGUAUCUAUCGUUAGGCUCCUAGUGGGAUUCACACAAAACCAGUAUGUGUGGGCACAUUCUCCUAGCAGCUCGGUGUCUUUUUGCUGUUGCAGAGGUGAUUUCCAGGCGGAGCUGACCAGUGGGGUUCUCUGGCUGAGGGGAAGACCAGCCGUCAGCUGGUGGAUGUGCUUCUGGAAGAAAUAGCAACGGGAGCUCUAAGAGAGGGAAAUGGCUUCCCUGCAUGGGUUCGUCUGGAAUUGUACAUUGACAAAUCAAGGGGAGCGGAACCGAAGGUCAGUCGAGAUGUUACUUUUCCCCGUGUGCCUUGUGCUUGUGAGUCGGACUGCUGACUACGGAGGGAUAACCUUUGUACUUGCCGAGGGCCCGCGAGGCUCCGUGUGCCCGCUGCUUCCGAGUGCUGCGCUGCGGCUCGGGCAACGGCCGGGGAGGAAUUGUCGGUCCCUCGUGGUUACGCAGCCGGGCCUGCUAGGCGCUUGAAGCAGCGCGUCCGGUCGGGCAGUAUUAUUUUUCUAGAUUGUAAAUGAGCCCGAGGUAUAAACCCACUUACGUUUCUGUAUGGCGGUGUACUUUGUGAGAGAGCUCAGAUGUACUGAUGGAGCUGGCACAGACUUCCCUUGGGACUCCAGAUUUGACUGUCUUGUUGAAAGGCUCCAGAGCCUGCUUUGAAAGUCGCUUGACAAAGCACAGCUUUGCCGUGAUUUUUAUACCGGAAUUCCGACUGUAAUGCCAAUGCCACGUGUUAGCCUUUCUCCAGCAGCUAUUAAAAGCAGAAUGAGCGUUAAGAAUCUGAUUACCUUUGAACUAAAUUCAAAACAAAGCUGCGGGGUGAAGCGACUGGAAGCGUCCUGCCAGUCUGACGUGGGUAUCGCUGCCGUGCGUGUUUUCUGCCUGUCUACUGAUCGCUCCUGCCUCUUGUUCUGCUGUGGUAAUUCCUUUGGGUAAGGCGUUGGGCUCUGACUAAAGUGCAUCCUGACUUCCUCCUGACCCCUGCGAGAUGUUAUCGGUGUUUGCCUUCCUCCCCUUUCACAGGGCCUCGGCUGUUGCGUGCAGAGAAGCUGUCAGCCUUGUGAGAGAGCAUGCAGCCGGCAAGCGCAUCGUGGUGCUUCGGUACCGAGCUGAUACCGCAGGCGUCCGUCUUUUGUUUGCGAAAAGGGAUCGCGAGGAAAGGUGCUGACGUUGGAGGGGGAAAGGUGGCGGGAGAACAGAGGUGAUUUCCAGGCGGAGCUGACCAGUGGGGUUCUCUGGCUGAGGGGAAGACCAGCCGUCAGCUGGUGGAUGUGCUUCUGGAAGAAAUAGCAACGGGAGCUCUAAGAGAGGGAAAUGGCUUCCCUGCAUGGGUUCGUCUGGAAUUGUACAUUGACAAAUCAAGGGGAGCGGAACCGAAGGUCAGUCGAGAUGUUACUUUUCCCCGUGUGCCUUGUGCUUGUGAGUCGGACUGCUGACUACGGAGGGAUAACCUUUGUACUUGCCGAGGGCCCGCGAGGCUCCGUGUGCCCGCCGCUUCCGAGUGCUGCGCUGCGGCUCGGGCAACGGCCGGGGAGGAAUUGUCGGUCCCUCGUGGUUACGCAGCCGGGCCUGCUAGGCGCUUGAAGCAGCGCGUCCGGUCGGGCAGUAUUAUUUUUCUAGAUUGUAAAUGAGCCCGAGGUAUAAACCCACUUACGUUUCUGUAUGGCGGUGUACUUUGUGAGAGAGCUCAGAUGUACUGAUGGAGCUGGCACAGAGUUCCCUUGGGACUCCAGAUUUGACUGUCUUGUUGAAAGGCUCCAGAGCCUGCUUUGAAAGUCGCUUGACAAAGCACAGCUUUGCCGUGAUUUUUAGACUGGAAUUCCGACUGUAAUGCCAAUGCCACGUGUUAGCCUUUCUCCAGCAGCUAUUAAAAGCAGAAUGAGCGUUAAGAAUCUGAUUACCUUUGAACUAAAUUCAAAACAAAGCUGCGGGGUGAAGCGACUGGAAGCGUCCUGCCAGUCUGACGUGGGUAUCGCUGCCGUGCGUGUUUUCUGCCUGUCUACUGAUCGCUCCUGCCUCUUGUUCUGCUGUGGUAAUUCCUUUGGGUAAGGCGUUGGGCUCUGACUGAAGUGCAUCCUGACUUCCUCCUGACCCCUGCGAGAUGUUAUCGGUGUUUGCCUUCCUCCCCUUUCACAGGGCCUCGGCUGUUGCGUGCAGAGAAGCUGUCAGCCUUAGGUGAUUUCCAGGCGGAGCUGACCAGUGGGGUUCUCUGGCUGAGGGGAAGACCAGCCGUCAGCUGGUGGAUGUGCUUCUGGAAGAAAUAGCAACGGGAGCUCUAAGAGAGGGAAAUGGCUUCCCUGCAUGGGAGGAGGCGGGCAGCGCUGAAGCUUUCGUGGCCAAGCCCCGGAGCCAGGAUGUCAGGGAGAAGCAGGAGUAUCUGAGCCAGCUGAAGAACAAGCUGGGAGAUCUACUAGAGGGGAAGGCAGAUGAUCUGAAGACUGCUUUCUGUGCGAUUGAUCCCGGUAUCGACGAUCAGACGCUAGAUACCUACGUUGACCUGCCGGAUCAAGAAGAUGUGCCUGUGGAAACUGCACUCGAGAGGCUGCUUGCUGGAUAUGCGAGACGAGUAGGGCCCUCGCCCAGGGAGGGAAGCACGACAGGCUUCGGAGGGGAGGAAGGAGACUUCCAAUAAUAAGAAUAAAUGGACUGUUUGAUCUACGGGUUUGGGUGCCAAGCCGAGAGUUGGAGUUACUGCGUUAAAUACUUCUUCCCAUUGCAUAUGGAGGUACAGCUCGUAAGAGCUGAGUGGGUGGGCUAGCUUGAGCUAUCGGAAGCGCUUUCAUCUUAAGCAGCACAGCACUCCGAGACAAUUUUACAGCCUCUGCAGAGUCAUUUUAGCUCAGCAAGACCUGUGGUGGGAGGCUGCCUGAUCCCCAGACAGAGGCUUCACACCCCCGGGGCGCCGAGGCACUUCAGGGUGUCAGGCGCUCUGCUUGGUGACACAAGAGCUGUGCUCCACAGCCAUUGCUGGAACCUGAGAAGCCACCGUCAGGCUCCAGGCUGCAGCGUGGCUGCUUUGGCCCUUGGCCCUUACAGUCCCUUGUCUCAAAGAAAGAGGGUUUCAAAGAUUCCUUUGCAAAAUAAGGUGCCGGUUGCAAGCAAAAGGUGAGGUCAGCCCACACGAAGUCUGCUAUCGUGUCUGUCCCCGAGGAGACUUUUGUCUUGGUGUGGCUGCUGUUGUCCAGUAUGAAAUCACUCAACAGACGUUCAAGUGCUGCCCCACGAGUAGAUUUAACCAAACUCUGAGCUGCAAAAGUCAUCCAAGCAUAGAAAAACUGAAAUCAGUCCCUUGCUGCGAGGAAGGCACCACGUGCCCUUUGGUAACUUUACUCAGUCGUCCCUACUCAUAGUGUCCGCUUUGCCCUGCACAUAGCCCUCUCUAGGGAGGGGAGGGA